CACUGCCGAGAAAAGCCUCUAGAUAGAAAAUAGGUGCCCGUACCGCAAACCGACACAGGUAGUCAAGAUGAGAAUUCUAAGGUGAGCGAGCGAACUCUCGUUAAGGAACUCGGCAAAAUGACCCCGUAACUUCGGGAGAAGGGGUGCUCUUUAGGGUUAACGCCCAGAAGAGCCGCAGUGAAUAGGCCCAAGCGACUGUUUAUCAAAAACACAGGUCUCUGCUAAACCGUAAGGUGAUGUAUAGGGGCUGACGCCUGCCCGGUGCUGGAAGGUUAAGAGGAGUGGUUAGCUUCUGCGAAGCUACGAAUCGAAGCCCCAGUAAACGGCGGCCGUAACUAUAACGGUCCUAAGGUAGCGAAAUUCCUUGUCGGGUAAGUUCCGACCCGCACGAAAGGCGUAACGAUUUGGGCACUGUCUCAACGAGAGACUCGGUGAAAUCAUAGUACCUGUGAAGAUGCAGGUUACCCGCGACAGGACGGAAAGACCCCGUGGAGCUUUACUGUAGCCUGAUAUUGAAAUUCGGCACAGCUUGUACAG
rnacentral:rRNA from 1 species